CAAGUCGAGCGGUAGCACAGAGAGCUUGCUCUCGGGUGACGAGCGGCGGACGGGUGAGUAAUGUCUGGGAAACUGCCUGAUGGAGGGGGAUAACUACUGGAAACGGUAGCUAAUACCGCAUAACGUCGCAAGACCAAAGUGGGGGACCUUCGGGCCUCAUGCCAUCAGAUGUGCCCAGAUGGGAUUAGCUAGUAGGUGGGGUAAUGGCUCACCUAGGCGACGAUCCCUAGCUGGUCUGAGAGGAUGACCAGCCACACUGGAACUGAGACACGGUCCAGACUCCUACGGGAGGCAGCAGUGGGGAAUAUUGCACAAUGGGCGCAAGCCUGAUGCAGCCAUGCCGCGUGUAUGAAGAAGGCCUUCGGGUUGUAAAGUACUUUCAGCGAGGAGGAAGGCAUUAAGGUUAAUAACCUUGGUGAUUGACGUUACUCGCAGAAGAAGCACCGGCUAACUCCGUGCCAGCAGCCGCGGUAAUACGGAGGGUGCAAGCGUUAAUCGGAAUUACUGGGCGUAAAGCGCACGCAGGCGGUCUGUCAAGUCGGAUGUGAAAUCCCCGGGCUCAACCUGGGAACUGCAUUCGAAACUGGCAGGCUAGAGUCUUGUAGAGGGGGGUAGAAUUCCAGGUGUAGCGGUGAAAUGCGUAGAGAUCUGGAGGAAUACCGGUGGCGAAGGCGGCCCCCUGGACAAAGACUGACGCUCAGGUGCGAAAGCGUGGGGAGCAAACAGGAUUAGAUACCCUGGUAGUCCACGCCGUAAACGAUGUCGACUUGGAGGUUGUGCCCUUGAGGCGUGGCUUCCGGAGCUAACGCGUUAAGUCGACCGCCUGGGGAGUACGGCCGCAAGGUUAAAACUCAAAUGAAUUGACGGGGGCCCGCACAAGCGGUGGAGCAUGUGGUUUAAUUCGAUGCAACGCGAAGAACCUUACCUACUCUUGACAUCCAGAGAACUUAGCAGAGAUGCUUUGGUGCCUUCGGGAACUCUGAGACAGGUGCUGCAUGGCUGUCGUCAGCUCGUGUUGUGAAAUGUUGGGUUAAGUCCCGCAACGAGCGCAACCCUUAUCCUUUGUUGCCAGCGGUUCGGCCGGGAACUCAAAGGAGACUGCCAGUGAUAAACUGGAGGAAGGUGGGGAUGACGUCAAGUCAUCAUGGCCCUUACGAGUAGGGCUACACACGUGCUACAAUGGCAUAUACAAAGAGAAGCGACCUCGCGAGAGCAAGCGGACCUCAUAAAGUAUGUCGUAGUCCGGAUUGGAGUCUGCAACUCGACUCCAUGAAGUCGGAAUCGCUAGUAAUCGUAGAUCAGAAUGCUACGGUGAAUACGUUCCCGGGCCUUGUACACACCGCCCGUCACACCAUGGGAGUGGGUUGCAAAAGAAGUAGGUAGCUUAACCUUCGGGAGGGCGC
rnacentral:rRNA from 1 species